rnacentral:rRNA from 1 species
AGAGUUUGAUCAUGGCUCAGGAUGAACGCUGGCGGCGUGCCUAAUACAUGCAAGUCGAGCGAGAAGCUACUUUGACGCGUUUUCGGACAAGUCUGUGUAGUGGAAAGCGGCGGACGGGUGAGUAACGCGUAGGCAACCUGCCCUUAGCAGAGGGAUAGCCAUUGGAAACGAUGAUUAAAACCUCAUAAAGCUGCAUAAACACAUGUAGAUGCAGCCAAAGAUUUAUCGGCUAAGGAUGGGCCUGCGUCUGAUUAACUAGUUGGCGGGGUAACGGCCCACCAAGGUGACGAUCAGUAGCCGACCUGAGAGGGUGAUCGGCCACAUUGGAACUGAGACACGGUCCAAACUUCUACGGAAGGCAGCAGUAAGGAAUCUUGCACAAUGGGGGAAACCCUGAUGCAGCAACGCCGCGUGAACGAUGAAGGCCUUCGGGUUGUAAAGUUCUGAUCUUGGGGAAGAAGAAAGUGACGGUACCCAAGGAGAAAGCCCCGGCUAAAUACGUGCCAGCAGCCGCGGUAAUACGUAUGGGGCAAGCGUUAUCCGGAAUUAUUGGGCGUAAAGAGUGCGUAGGUGGUUACCUAAGCGCAAGGUUUAAUCUUGAGGCUCAACCUCAUUCUGCCUUGCGAACUGGGCUACUUGAGUGCUGGAGGGGAAAGCGGAAUUCCCAGUGUAGUGGUGAAAUGCGUAGAUAUUGGGAAGAACACCGGUGGCGAAGGCGGCUUUCUGGACAGUAACUGACACUGAGGCACGAAAGCGUGGGGAGCAAACAGGAUUAGAUACCCUGGUAGUCCACGCCGUAAACGAUGAGCACUAGUUGUUGGGUCCGAAUGGAUUCAGUGACGCAGUUAACGCAAUAAGUGCUCCGCCUGGGGAGUACGGUGGCAACACUAAAACUCAAAUGAAUUGACGGGGGCCCGCACAAGCGGUGGAGCAUGUGGUUUAAUUCGAUGCAACGCGAAGAACCUUACCUGGACUUGACAUUGAGAGGAUACUGAAGAGAUUCGGUAGUGCCGCAAGGAACUCGAAAACAGGUGCUGCAUGGCUGUCGUCAGCUCGUGUCGUGAGAUGUUGGGUUAAGUCCCGCAACGAGCGCAACCCUUGUUCUUUGUUGCCAGCACGUAAUGGUGGGAACUCAAAGAAGACUGCCGGUGACAAACCGGAGGAAGGCAGGGAUGACGUCAAGUCAUCAUGGCCCUUACGUCCAGGGCUACACACGUGCUACAAUGGCGUAAACAAAGAGAAGCAGAGGAGCGAUCCCGAGCAAAUCUCAAAAAUAACGUCUCAGUUCGGACUGCAGGCUGCAACUCGCCUGCACGAAGCUGGAAUCGCUAGUAAUCGCGGAUCAGCAUGCCGCGGUGAAUACGUUCCCGGGUCUUGUACACACCGCCCGUCACACCAUGGGAGUCGGUAAUGCCCGAAGCCAGUGGCCCAACUGCAAAGAGGGAGCUGUCGAAGGCAGGACUGAUAACUGGGGUGAAGUCGUAACAAGGUAACCGUA